AUUAAAUGAUGAAACAUUUUUCACCAUCUUUCGACUGAUAGUAAUGAUCGAUUAAAUUUUUACUGAAGUAAAUU
rfam:Daphnia pulex DAPPTscaffold_88_Cont4093, whole genome shotgun sequence.